rnacentral:rRNA from 1 species
GGGGGGGGGGGGGGGGGGGCGGGGCGGGGGCGGGGCGGGCGGAGGGGCCCUGCUUGCAGGGUACUCGAGUGGCGAACGGGUGAGUAACACGUGGGUGAUCUGCCCUGCACUUCGGGAUAAGCUUGGGAAACUGGGUCUAAUACCGGAUAGGAACCAUCUUUAGUGUGGUGGUUGGAAAGUUUUUUCGGUGUAGGAUGAGCUCGCGGCCUAUCAGCUUGUUGGUGGGGUAAUGGCCUACCAAGGCGGCGACGGGUAGCCGGCCUGAGAGGGUGUACGGCCACAUUGGGACUGAGAUACGGCCCAGACUCCUACGGGAGGCAGCAGUGGGGAAUAUUGCACAAUGGGCGCAAGCCUGAUGCAGCGACGCCGCGUGGGGGAUGAAGGCCUUCGGGUUGUAAACUCCUUUCGCUAGGGACGAAGCUUUGUUGUGACGGUACCUAGAUAAGAAGCACCGGCUAACUACGUG